GGAGAGGUGGCUGAGUGGUCGAAAGCGGCACACUGCUAAUGUGUUAUACGGCAUUAAAACCGUAUCCAGGGUUCGAAUCCCUGCCUCUCCG
rfam:Parcubacteria (Magasanikbacteria) bacterium GW2011_GWA2_37_8 TS58_C0002, whole genome shotgun sequence.